CCUACGGGUGGCAGCAGUGGGGAAUAUUGGACAAUGGGGGGAACCCUGAUCCAGCCAUGCCGCGUGUGUGAAGAAGGCCCUCGGGUUGUAAAGCACUUUCAGUGAGGAAGAACGCCUGGUGGUUAAUACCCAUCAGGAAAGACAUCACUCACAGAAGAAGCACCGGCUAACUCCGUGCCAGCAGCCGCGGUAAUACGGAGGGUGCGAGCGUUAAUCGGAAUUACUGGGCGUAAAGCGCGCGUAGGUGGCUUGAUAAGCCGGUUGUGAAAGCCCCGGGCUCGACCUGGGAACGGCAUCCGGAACUGUCAAGCUAGAGUGCGGGAGAGGAAGGUAGAAUUCCCGGUGUAGCGGUGAAAUGCGUAGAGAUCGGGAGGAAUACCAGUGGCGAAGGCGGCCUUCUGGACUGACACUGACACUGAGGUGCGAAAGCGUGGGUAGCAAACAGGAUUAGAUACCCCAGUAGUC
rnacentral:rRNA from 1 species